rnacentral:rRNA from 1 species
UCAAACGACUCUCGGCAACGGAUAUCUCGGCUCUUGCAUCGAUGAAGAACGUAGCGAAAUGCGAUACUUGGUGUGAAUUGCAGAAUCCCGUGAACCAUCGAGUCUUUGAACGCAAGUUGCGCCCGAGACCAUUAGGUCGAGGGCACGUCUGCCUGGGCGUCACA